CCUACGGGUGGCUGCAGUGAGGAAUAUUGGUCAAUGGGCGCGAGCCUGAACCAGCCAAGUAGCGUGAAGGAUGACUGCCCUACGGGUUGUAAACUUCUUUUAUAAAGGAAUAACGUGAGGCACUUGUGCCUUUUUGUAUCUACUUUAUGAAUAAGGAUCGGCUAACUCCGUGCCAGCAGCCGCGGUAAUACGGAGGAUCCGAGCGUUGUCAGGAUUUAUUGGGUUUAAAGGGAGCGUAGAUGGGUUGGUAAGUCAGUUGUGAAAGUUUGCGGCUCAACCGUAAAAUUGCAAUUGAUACUGGCAGUCGUGAGUACAGGUGAGGUAGGCGGAAUUCGUGGUGUAGCGGUGAAAUGCGUAGAUAUCACGAAGAACUCCGAUGGCGAAGGCAGCUUACUAAACUGCCACUGACAUUGAUGCGCGAAAGUGUGGGUAUCAAACAGGAUUAGAUACCCUUGUAGUC
rnacentral:rRNA from 1 species